AGGUCUCAAAAUCCCAGCUGAGGGCAGGAGACCAUUUAGUUGCUCGUUGCUCGACAUCAAAGGGUGACAGUGGCAUCUUCAUCGGGGGAGACAAAGUUAUUCAUGUUGUGGAACGAAAAAAGGGUGGCGGGUGUUUUAGUGCUCGUUGGUGUGCACCUUUUAUGAGCUCAACUAGCGGUGGUGGUGGUGGUGGUGGUGGCGGCGACAGUGGAAAGAAGAAAAAGACACAUUGCUCGAAAUCUUAUUGUGGAGAGGAGAAAGUGGCGAGAAGUGGAGUGAGGUUGUGUUGCGUAGAUUGCUUUAUCAAGGAAGAAGACUUUCUAGACCGACUCACAUAUAAAUCGGAUGCUGCAGCACAAGUGGUAGAAAGAGCUACGUAUCUGUAUGAAAAUGGGUGUUCUGAGCAUAAAGGAACGAUCGUUGGUACCAAUCACGGUUUCGUAAAAUACUGCAAGACUGGUUAUGCAGCUCGGAUAGUGCGACCGUAAAAAAGAACCGAAAAGCUGCCAGGAAAAUGGGUAAAUAACUAAAAAACUCAUUUGCAGGGUGGAGGUGUAUGUGUUAUCGAUUGAUCAAACAACUCUCUUUUUUAAUAUAUUUAUUACUGUUGUCCUUGUUGUUUGUAAUAAUAAAGAGUAAUAUAGUCAUUUUAUAUUC